rnacentral:rRNA from 1 species
CGGCAGAAUCCUAGUGGCGAACGGGUGAGUAACGCGUAGGCAACCUCGCCCUCCGGCCGGGGACAACACUACCGGAAAGGGGUGCUAAGUACCGGAUACGAAGUCUGUGCCGCAGUGGUACGGAUUUGAAAGAUGGCCUCUGUUUACAGCUAUCGGCCGGGGAUGGGCCUGCGUCCGAUUAGCUGGUUGGUGGGGUAACGGCCUACCAAGGCGACGAUCGGUAGCCGGUCUGAGAGGAUGAACGGCCACAUUGGGACUGAGACACGGCCCAGACUCCUACGGGAGGCAGCAGUGGGGAAUCUUCCGCAAUGGGCGCAAGCCUGACGGAGCAACGCCGCGUGAGUGAGGAAGUUCUUCGGAACGUAAAGCUCUGUUGUUCCUGACGAACCUCCCCUCUAUCAACAACGGAGGGGACUGACGGUAGGGAACGAGGAAGCCACGGCUAACUACGUGCCAGCCGCCGC